rnacentral:rRNA from 1 species
AGUGAACGCUGGCGGUAGGCCUAACACAUGCAAGUCGAACGGCAGCACAGUAAGAGCUUGCUCUUACGGGUGGCGAGUGGCGGACGGGUGAGGAAUACAUCGGAAUCUACUUUUUCGUGGGGGAUAACGUAGGGAAACUUACGCUAAUACCGCAUACGACCUACGGGUGAAAGCAGGGGAUCUUCGGACCUUGCGCGAUUGAAUGAGCCGAUGUCGGAUUAGCUAGUUGGCGGGGUAAAGGCCCACCAAGGCGACGAUCCGUAGCUGGUCUGAGAGGAUGAUCCGGCAACCUUGAACUGAGACACGGUCCAGACUCCUACGGGAGGCAGCAGUGGGGAAUAUUGGACAAUGGGCGCAAGCCUGAUCCAGCCAUACCGCGUGGGUGAAGAAGGCCUUCGGGUUGUAAAGCCCUUUUGUUGGGAAAGAAAAGCAGCAGGUUAAUACCCCGCUGUUCUGACGGUACCCAAAGAAUAAGCACCGGCUAACUUCGUG